UGAGCGCAAAGCCGCCAGUCAGUGGUGGAGCGGCGCGCCACGAGAGCAGCAAACUCAGUGUCGCUGCCGCUACAAUACACUCGUCCUCCACCCCGUCGCUGCCCUCACCACCUCCUCCUUCUACACGACUCCUCUCUCUUCUACGGGACGAACACCUACAGAUCUCAUACUUGAAACUGAAUGCUGAGUGGAUAUGUGACAGAAUAAUCCUAGUGGAAAAUACUUUGAGAUGAGUUUAAAUUCUCAAAAGACGUUUAUAGUGAGGAACAGACAAGUUAACAGACCAUUGCAACGUAACACAAGACAUCUAUGAAACAAAAGAACAUCAGAUGACAAAAUACUUAUAAUUCUAAAUACUUAAAACGGUAAUGCAAGUGAGAAGGAAUUAUGUCAUUGGUGGUAUUGAUAAACUGAAGUAGAUGAAAUAUAAAAAGUUGUCUGGAGUGAAUCUAGUGUCCUAAUAUUGACAAUAGUUAAGGUAUCAAAUAAUAACCUUAACUUCGAUACAAACUAAUACCACCAUUACUACCACUACCAUUAUCAGCAGUACCAACCACCAAUACCGGCAUUAUUAUCACCACUACCAAGCUCUACACCAUUACCAACACCACUACCAGCCCUACCACCAUUACCAGCACGAGUCCUACCAACCCAACUACCACCAUCAGUCCUACCAACCCUACCAACUCAACUACCACCACCAGCGAGGCCAGAGCACUGCACCUACUCCAUAUCCACACAAUACUCAGUAGUGCCGCCUCCAUCUGUGUUGGGCCCUGACGAACCCUUACACUGCCUGGCCCUGAAGAGCACUCCUGAGACUCUGUUCCAGCCGGAGAUUAUCGACUUGGUGUACCUGACG